AUAUAUAUAUAUAUAUAUAUAUAUAUAGUAGGUCUUGUGUGCUAUUAGGAGCACGGAGGCCUCCGUGCUCCUAAGCUGUUUUCGAUGAUGGAGCUUCCGAAUCGACGAUCGGCUCCGUUAAACUUAAUCUAGCGUAUUUGAACUAUCUAGAAAAUAAUUUUUGUGAUUUUUCGGUAUCAUUUUCCUAGCGAUCGAAAGGGUUCAAAAUCAACAAUUUUUAAUGGUUGAUGUAUACCGUUUGCAAGUUUAACGGUGUAAAAGUAUUCAAAUCAAAUGAAAUUUUGAUAGAAAAUUUUUUAUACUAUUUACAUCAAGAUCAAUAUGUUUGAUCGAAAAUUUUAAUGCUAUAUCACCACUUUUUGUGAGAUUUUUUUUUUCAGCCGUUGAUUUUGAACCCUUUCGAUCGCUAGGAAAAUGAUAUCGAAAAGUCACAAAAUUUAUUUUCUAGAUACUUCAAAUAUGCUAGAUCAAGUCUAACGGAGCCGAUCGUCAAUUCGGAAGCCCCAUCAUCGAAACGGCUUAGGAGCACGGAGGCCUCCGUGCUCCUAAUAGCACACAAGACCUACUAUAUAUAUAUAUAUAUAGGGCUAGGCUACUAUACUAUCUAUAGUACCGAGCUUCGGUACUAUAGUAUUGGUUUUCGAUCUUAGGGCGUUCAAAUCAACGAUCCACACCGUUAAAACUGAUCUAGGGUAUUUAAAGUUUUCAGAAAUAAAAUUUUAUAUUUUUUCGACAUAGUUUACUUUAUGAUCAAACUAUUUCAAAAUUGUCAAUUUUCAAUGGCUAUUAUGACGAGUUUGGAGUUUAACGGUGUAGAAGAAUCUAAAUUUCUUC
rnacentral:lncRNA from 1 species